AUGAGCGGCGCCGUGCUCAACACCAUCAACACCUCCGCCGCGUCGACACCAAGGAAUGUCUACGCCGCCAUCAGGGAUCACGGGGUCACGCACCUCUGUGGCGCGCCCGUCGUGCUCAGCCUCAACAUGCUGGCCAACGCGCCGGAGGGUGUGCGCAAUCCUCUGCAUAGGAAGGUACGGGUCAUGACAGCCGGCGCGCCGCCGCCGGCAGCCGUGCUGCACCGCGCGGAGGCAUUGAGCUUCGACGUAAGCCACUGGUACGGGCUGACCGAGACAGCGGGCACGUGGUGUCGUGUGCGUGGAAGGGGGAGUGGAAGUGGAACAAGCUGCCCGCGUCGGAGCGCUCGCGGCUCAAGGCAAGGCAGGGCGUGCGCCCGCCCGGCAUGGCCGAGGUGGACAUCGUCGACGCAGCGUGCCCCGGGACGGCGCCACCAUGGGCGAGAUCGUGCUCCGCGGCGGGUGCAUAAUGCUUGCCUGCUUGGGUACCUCAACGACGGCGAGCCGACCAGGGCGGCGAUCCGGGACGACGGGUGGUUCUACACCGGGGGCAUGGGCGUGAUGCACCCGGACGGUUACCUGGAGAUCCGCGACCGAUCCAAAGACGAGAUCAUCAGCGGCGGCGAGAACAUCAGCAGCGUAGAGGUGGAAUCCAUGCUCUACAGCCACCCAGAGGUGAGCAAGGCGUCGGUGGUGGCGCGGCCGGACGAGUUCUAG
rnacentral:rRNA from 1 species